rnacentral:rRNA from 1 species
UACCUGGGUUGAUCCUGCCAGUAGUCAUAUGCUUGUCUCAAGAUUAGCCAUGCAUGUGUAMGUUCAGGCCGUUGUAGGGCGAACCUGCGGAAUGGAUCAUUAAAUCAGUUACGGUUCCUUAGAUGUUGACUGUCUACAUGGAUAACUGUGGUAAUUCUAGAGCUAAUACAUGCACAAAAGCUCUGACCUUAACGGAAAGAGCGCAUUUAUUAGAACAAGACCAAUGGGGUGCUUAACGGCGCUCCUCACUGUGGUGACUCUGGAUAACUAUUGCUAAUCGCAUGGCCUACGAGCCGGCGAUGAAUCUUUCAAGUGUCUGCCUUAUCAACUGUCGAUGGUAGGUUAUGCGCCUACCAUGGUUGUAACGGGUAACGGGGAAUCAGGGUUCGAUUCCGGAGAGGGAGCCUGAGAAACGGCUACCACAUCCAAGGAAGGCAGCAGGCACGCAAAUUACCCAAUCCCAGAACGGGGAGGUAGUGACGAAAAAUAACAAUACGGGACUCUUAUGAGGCCCCGUAAUUGGAAUGAGAACAAUCUAAAUCCUUUAACGAGGAUCUAUUGGAGGGCAAGUCUGGUGCCAGCAGCCGCGGUAAUUCCAGCUCCAAUAGCGUAUAUUAAAGUUGUUGUGGUUAAAAAGCUCGUAGUUGGAUCUCAGUUCGAGUCAGGCGGUCCACUUGCCAGUGGCUACUGCCUGACUGAACACUUUACCGAGUUGUCCUAUGGUGUUCKWSWCCGAGCGUCACUUGCCGAUCGGUACUGCCUGACUGAACACUUUACCGAGUUGUCCUAUGGUGUUCUUCACCGAGCGUCAUAGGCGAUCGGUACGUUUACUUUGAAAAAAUUAGAGUGCUCAAAGCAGGCGUAACGCCCGAAUAAUGUUGCAUGGAAUAAUGGAAUAGGACCUCGGUUCUAUUUUGUUGGUCUUCGGAAUCAGAGGUAAUGAUCAAUAGGGACAGACGGGGCCAUUCGUAUUGCGGCGCUAGAGGUGAAAUUCUUGGACCGUCGCAAGACGAACUAAAGCGAAAGCAUUUGGCAAGAAUGUUUUCAUUAAUCAAGAACGAAAGUUAGAGGUUCGAAGGCGAUCAGAUACCGCCCUAGUUCUAACCAUAAACGAUGCCAACCAGUAAUUCGUCUGAGUUCCUUAAAUGACUCGACGAGGGACUUCCGGGAAACCAAAGUCUUUCGGUUCCAGGGGAAGUAUGGUUGCAAAGCUGAAACUUAAAGAAAUUGACGGAAGGGCACCACCAGGAGUGGAGCCUGCGGCUUAAUUUGACUCAACACGGGAAAACUCACCCGGCCCGGACACUGGAAGGAUUGACAGAUUGAGAGCUCUUUCUUGAUUCAGUGGGUGGUGGUGCAUGGCCGUUCUUAGUUGGUGGAGUGAUUUGUCUGGUUAAUUCCGAUAACGAACGAGACUCUAGCCUACUAAAUAGAUCGUCGGCUUACAAACGCCGGCGAGACUUCUUAGAGGGACAGGCGGUGAUUCAACCGCACGAAACAGAGCAAUAACAGGUCUGUGAUGCCCUUAGAUGUCCGGGGCCGCACGCGCGCUACACUGAAGUGAUCAGCGUGCUUUUUCAACCUACUCUGUCAAGAGUGGGGAACCCAAUGAACCUUCUUCGUGAUUGGGAUAGGGGAUUGUAAUUAUUCCCCUUGAACGAGGAAUUCCCAGUAAGCGCGAGUCAUAAGCUCGCGUUGAUUACGUCCCUGCCCUUUGUACACACCGCCCGUCGCUACUACCGAUUGAAUGUUUUAGUGAGGUCUUCGGACUGGCCGGCGCAGCACUCUCGUAGUGCAUCCUGUGUUUGUAUAUGCC